AGCGGGCCAAGUCAGUGGAGCUCAACUACUAUUCAUUGAAGAUAAUACACCACUAACACCAGCAAGAACGGUAAAGCGAAUAGCACAACUUACAAUGCCUACAAUAGGACACAAUGUGGACACACCGAAACGUGAGAGGAUUCCCUGAUAUAUAUAGUUUAACGAGCGAUUAGUCAGAACCAAACAUCAAAGAAGCCAAUUACUGGAUUACUGUAUUGCAUAUCAACCGGAUUUGAUUCACUAAUCGUAAAUACUAUUAUUUUACGUGAUGUCAGAUAUAAUACCUUGCUCUUUUUCAACAUUACGUUUCAAAACGAAAGCAAGAUCAAAGUCAUGCUGUGUGGAAAAAACACCCUGGUCCGGCGAUGAGCUGCUUGUCUUUGACAACCUGUGGGAAUCCAACAUGUCGUCGUCUAUGAAUAGCCUUGCCCCUUCUGCGAAGGACCGUCCGCGCAAAAAUUCUUUCGUAGCAUCGUGCGGUAUAGUAACCAUGUCAUGUCAAACUAGCACUUAUCAAACAAGGGCCAAGAAGGGGGAAAAUACUCAAGGCUUAAACUACGAUGAGGUAAUAUGCUCCGACUCGGAAGACGAAGAAAAUGUGAACAAAUGUGAAAUUGUUAUGGCAAUUGCAAUAUGCUAUGAUCGAUGUGAUGGAAUCAUGGACUCUGCGAUGCUAAUAAGAUUAGUUGACGUAGAAGAUUCGCUGCAGUGGAAGCCACGCCGAAUUGCCGAUCAUGAGAUUUUACAUGCUCAAUUGUCUCACGUAGUUCACGAGAUUUAUGCCUGGUACGUAGCGGACAGUGCCGAGCAUUACGUGAUCGGCUUCAAGGAUUUGAAAGGUUCGAAAUAUUACUAUGCCGCCAUCGGUGAAGAUGGCCUACUUCGUCUUGCAAGUGAUUUUGAUCCGCCUUACACAUUAAAUCGAUCAGAUAUGUCUGAAGAUCCAAGAGUUAUUCGCUAUCACAAGAAUGAGCAUUCGGGGCGACACUUUCUUCAAUCAGUCAAAUACGCUGGACAUUUCAUUAACGUAACCAAUGGUUACUUGAAGGCCGAGGAAUCGAAAGAGCGAAAUUCAACUUCUUGGCUGCUUAGACCUCUAUAAAGUUUUUUUGCCCUGAUGAAUUUCUUUUUGUUGUGUAUGAUAUCAUAUAAUUGGGCACGUAUCUCAUUCAGCUAAUAUUUUUAUUAUUUCAACGCUAUUAAUAAUUUAAUAUUGUGAUUCAAAUAUCUUAUAAAGUUAUGAUACCUAUUUGUGCGUACAUUCUAUAAUAUUGCUAUAAUUAUAUUUUUGCUGAGCUUAUUUAAUGAAUGUAAACAAUAACUGUCUAUUUUUACAAUAUAUUCAACAUAACUAUACAACCAUGGCAUUCCAAUAUACUAUUUACUGUAGCAGUGUUUGAUUGACUGGACUGAAUGCGUUAUAAUAUCAUUAUAGAAUGCGUUGUUUUUAUUUAGUAAA